AGCUCCAGUAGCGUAUAUUAAAGUUGUUGCAGUUAAAAAGCUCGUAGUUGGAUUUCUGGUACGCUGCGCCUGGCCCGCCUUAGGGUGAGUGCUGGAGCGCGGUUGCCAUCCUUCUAGAGAACACUUCUACCCUUCAUUGGGCCGGAUGUGGAAUCUAGAUCUUUUACUUUGAAAAAAUUAGAGUGUUUAAGGCAGGCUUUUGCUAUGAAUACAUUAGCAUGGAAUAAUAAUAUAGGACUUUGGUUCUAUUUUGUUGGUUUCUAGGACUAAAGUAAUGAUUGAUAGGGAUAGUUGGGGGUGCUAGUAUUCGGCCGGCCAGAGGUGAAAUUCUUGGAUUCGCCGAAGACUAACUUAUGCGAAAGCAUUCACCAAGGAUGUCUUCUUUAAUCAAGAACGAAAG
rnacentral:rRNA from 1 species